rnacentral:rRNA from 1 species
UACGUAGGGUCCGAGCGUUGUCCGGAAUUAUUGGGCGUAAAGAGCUUGUAGGCGGUCUGUCGCGUCUGCUGUGAAAAUCCGGGGCUCAACCCCGGACUUGCAGUGGGUACGGGCAGACUAGAGUGUGGUAGGGGAGACUGGAAUUCCUGGUGUAGCGGUGAAAUGCGCAGAUAUCGGGAGGAACACCGGUGGCGAAGGCGGUUCUCUGGGCCUGACCUGACGCUGAGGAGCGAAAGCGUGGGGAGCGAACAGG